GACGAACGCUGGCGGCGCGCUUAACACAUGCCAGUCGAACGGAAAGGCCUGCUUUCCCUUGUGGAUUGCGGGUACUCGAGUGGCGAACGGGUGAGUAACACGUGAGUGAUCUGCCCCCAACUUGGGUAUAAGCCUAGGAAACUGGGUCUAAUUCCCGAUAGGACUGCAGGGUGGUGCCUGUGGUGGAAAACGAUUUUCUAGUGGUUGGGGAUGAGCUCGCGGCCUAUCAGCUUGUUGGUGGGGUAAUGGCCUACCAAGGCGGCGACGGGUAGCCGGCCUGAGAGGGUGGACGGCCACAUUGGGACUGAGAUACGGCCCAGACUCCUACGGGAGGCAGCAGUGGGGAAUAUUGCACAAUGGGCGGAAGCCUGAUGCAGCGACGCCGCGUGGGGGAUGACGGCCUUCGGGUUGUAAACUCCUUUCGACCGCGAGGAAGCCACCUGGUUGGAAGGGUGGUGACGGUAGUGGUAGAAGAAGCACCGGCUAACUACGUG
rnacentral:rRNA from 1 species